rnacentral:lncRNA from 1 species
ACCUCUCCAAGAUAGUACUUGAUCCUCUUAGCAUAGUAAGGAAUUUGUGGAAGUACUAAAGGAGUAACGGUCACCUGAUUAAAGAUUUCCCUGAAUGGCUCUCAGUGACUCUCUUUCUCUUUCUCUUUCUCCUUUUCUUUUUCUUCUCUUUCCUCUUUACGACUUUCCUGCUCAUUAAAUUCAUCAUUAUGAAUCAUCUCCUCAUCUUCCUCCUCGCUGCUCUUAAUAUCAAUUAUCUCCCCUUUUGUAUUCCUUUUAUUUCUUGUCAGAACAACUUUGCACUCAUCUUUAGGGUUAACUUCAGUGUUAGCCCGAAACUGAUUCUUCUCGGUGGUUUCUACCCUUUGAGACAACUGCCCAAUAUGUGUUUCUAAUGCUCUGAAGCUGGC